UGGGAGCAAAGCUUGCUCGCGAUGGCGGCGGACCAGCCAGUAUCAUUGUUGGCUGACUUGGCCCCAUCGCGAGCAAGCUUUGCUCCCA
rnacentral:misc_RNA from 1 species